rnacentral:rRNA from 1 species
UACGUAGGUGGCAAGCGUUGUCCGGAUUUAUUGGGCUUAAAGGGUGCGUAGGCGGUCCAUUAAGUCAGUUGUGAAAUCCGGCAGCUUAACUGUCGCGGUGCAAUUGAUACUGGAGGACUUGAGUACAGACGAGGUAGGCGGAAUUGACGGUGUAGCGGUGAAAUGCAUAGAUAUCGUGAAGAACACCGAUAGCGAAGGCAGCUUACUAGACUAUAACUGACGCUGAGGCGCGAAAGCGUGGGGAUCAAACAGG